CAUAACGGGGAUUUCCCUAGUACGGCGAGUGAAGCGGGAAGAGCUCAAAUUUAAAAUCUGGCAGGCUACGCUUGUCCGAAUUGUAAUCUCGAGAAGUGUUUUCCGCGUUGGCCUGUGUACAAGUCCCUUGGAACAGGGCGUCAUAGAGGGUGAGAAUCCCGUCCUUGACACAGACACCCAAUGCUUUGUGAUACACUCUCAAUGAGUCGAGUUGUUUGGGAAUGCAGCUCAAAAUGGGUGGUAAAUUCCAUCUAAAGCUAAAUACUGGCGAGAGACCGAUAGCGAACAAGUACCGUGAGGGAAAGAUGAAAAGCACUUUGGAAAGAGAGUCAAACAGUACGUGAAAUUGUUGAAAGGGAAACGAUUGAAGUCAGUCGUGCCUGCCUAGUCUCAGCCUUUUGGUGUACUACUAGGUCGGCAGGUCAGCAUCAGUUUGGGAGGAUUAACAAGGGAGUUAGGAAUGUGGCAACCUCGGUUGUGUUAUAGCCUAGCUUCGCAUUGAUCUUGCUGGACUGAGGAACGCAGUGCGCCCGCAAGGGUUGGUCUUCGGACACAUUCGCACUUAGGAUGCUGGCAUAAUGGCUUUAAACGACCCGUCUUGAAACACGGACCA
rnacentral:rRNA from 1 species